CGGGAUAGCUCAGCUGGUAGAGCAGAGGACUGAAAAUCCUCGGGUCCCAGUU
rnacentral:tRNA from 1 species